rnacentral:rRNA from 1 species
GGGAGUGGCAGACGGGUGAGUAACGCGUGGGAAUCUACCUAGCUCUAUGGAAUAACUUCGGGAAACCGGAGCUAAUACCGUAUACGCCCUUCGGGGGAAAGAUUUAUCGGAGUUAGAUGAGCCCGCGUUAGAUUAGCUUGUUGGUAGGGUAAUGGCCUACCAAGGCGACGAUCUAUAGCUGGUCUGAGAGGAUGAUCAGCCACACUGGGACUGAGACACGGCCCAGACUCCUACGGGAGGCAGCAGUGGGGAAUAUUGCACAAUGGGCGCAAGCCUGAUGCAGCCAUGCCGCGUGAGUGAUGAAGGCCCUAGGGUUGUAAAACUCUUUCAUCGGUGAAGAUAAUGACGGUAGCCGAAGAAGAAGUCCCGGCUAACUCCGUGCCAGCAGCCGCGGUAAUACGGAGGGGACUAGCGUUGUUCGGAAUUACUGGGCGUAAAGCGCGCGUAGGCGGACUGGUCAGUUGGGGGUGAAAUCCCGAGGCUUAACCUCGGAACUGCCUUCAAUACUGCCAGUCUUGAGUUCGGAAGAGGUGAGUGGAAUUCCUAGUGUAGAGGUGAAAUUCAUAGAUAUUAGGAAGAACACCAGUGGCGAAGGCGACUCACUGGUCCGAUACUGACGCUGAGGUGCGAAAGCGUGGGGAGCGAACAGGAUUAGAUACCCUGGUAGUCCACGCCGUAAACGAUGGAUGCUAGCCGUUGGACAGUAUACUG